AGCGAACGCUGGCGGCAGGCUUAACACAUGCAAGUCGAGCGCGUGUAGCAAUACACGAGCGGCAGACGGGGGAGUAACACGUGGGAACGUGCAUUUUGGCUCGGAAUAACUCAGGGAAACUUGAGCUAAUACCGAAUAAGCCCUGCGGGGGAAAGAUUUAUCGGCGAAAGAUCGGCCCGCGUAAGAUUAGCUAGUUGGUGAGGUAACGGCUCACCAAGGCUACGAUCUUUAGCGGGUCUGUGAGGAUGAUCAGCCACAUUGGGACUGAGACACGGCCCAAACUCCUACGGGAGGCAGCAAUGGGGAAUAUAGGGCUAUGGGCGCAAGGCAGAUCCAGCCAUGCCGCGAGAGUGAUGAAGGCCUUAGGGUUGUAAAGCUCUUUUAGCAGGGACGAUAAUGACGGUACCUGCAGAAAAAGCACCGGCCAACUUCGUGCCAGCCGCCGCUGUAACAC
rnacentral:rRNA from 1 species